rnacentral:lncRNA from 1 species
UGACUGUGUCAGUUCUUGGCACCAAUUUAUCCAAUUAAUUCCGUUUUCAGGAACUGAGAUGAUUUUAAAUUCAGCACAAAUGCCUUUUGAAAAAAUCAUGUAUUUAUAGUUUUGCCUUUAAUGAUAGUGUACUUAUUUUUCAGUUUAAAACUUCUUUAUCUUUGACCUGGACCAUUACAAUCAGUCCACACUUCAGAAGUUCUCAAAUAUUCAUUUGUCUCCACCAUAGAAUAUUUUCUCCAUUGCCACCAUAAUUGCCUUUCUUAUGGGGGGGGGGAAGAGAGAGAGAAAGAGAGAGAGAGAGAAUAUUUUGUUCUCUGCCAUGAAAAUUCUUUCAUGGACCCACCUAACAUCUAUGUGGUAAACUCCAAACUGGUAAUUCUGACAAAAUACCCUCCAUGUUUUGGCCUCCCUCUAUCUUGCUUUUUGUCUGUCUUCCACAUGCACUUGUUACAUUGAACUUCUCAUUAUUCCUUGAUGACCCUAAGUAUUUUCAUGCUUACUUUGCUUGGUUCUUGUUUAUCAAAGCCCAUAAACUCUAUUCCCUCCUUAACAAGGCAAAAGUUAUUUGUUCCUUCAAGGCCCAACUCAGAUUAUCAACACUUUUUGUGAUGUGCUGCUUAAUCAUCAUCCCUCUCAAGGUACAAAUAGUUGCUUUUACUUCUGUAUCACUUGUAGAUAUUUGCCAUUGCACUUUUCACAGCCUGCUGCAAGUACUUGUAAGUCUAUCACCACAUGGUGGCUGGCAAGAUGGUCAAAUAGGAACAGCUUCAGUCAGGAGCAGCUCCGUUUUGCAGCUCCCGGCGAGAUCAACGAAGAAGGGUGAUUUCUGCAUUUCCAACUGAGGUACCCGGCUCAUCUCUCCGGGACUGGUUAGAUAGUGGGUGUGAACCAUGGAGGACGAGCCGAAGCAGGGUGGGGCGUCACCUCACUGUGGAAGCACGAAGGGUUGGGGAACUCACUCCCCUAGCCAAUGGAAGCCAUGAGGGACUGUGCUGUGAGGAAGGGUGCACUCUGGCCCAGAUACUAGUUUUUCCCACGGCUUUCGCAACUCGCAGACCAGGAGAUUCCCUUGGGUGCCUACACCACCAGGGCCCUGGGUUUCAGCACAAAACUGGGCAUGUUAGGGCAGACACCGAGGUAGCCACAGGAGUUUUGUUCUUCAUACCCCAGUGGCACCUGGAAUGCUUGCAAAUUGGUGGCCGUAGCAAUUUCUGUUUUCAGUGGCUGUUAUAAAAAUUACAUGAGAAAGUAGGCAAAGUACUAAGUAGGGUACCUGUCCUAUAAAUGUUAGCUUCAACUCUUAUACCUCCUCAUCUAUUACUGUUAAAUUUGUUAUUUAUUACUAUUGAAACACCAAUGAAGAAAUACUGUUAUUGCAAAAAGUAUUUGAGAAACUGACUUAAAAAAAUUGGGAAGAGAAUUGCCACUUUUUUAAAAGGUAAGUUUAGGUGAAAAGGCAUUUGGAAUGAGUUCAGUAAAUGUGGUGAAAUAAAGACAACUGAACAGAUAAGACACAAUUAGACCAUGUCAAAAUGGCUAACACUCAUAUAACCCCAAUUCACCUUUUUGAAAAUAUAAAUAACAGCUUCUCUCGCCAGGCGUCCCCGUGGAAGGACAUUGUCUUUAAACUCUGGCAAUCCCUGACGCACUGCUGUGCUGCCCAGGGAAAACAGGGCGACCCGGAAGUCCAACUACUUCCUUAAGAUCAUCCAACUAUUGGAUGAUUAUCCGAAAUGCUUCAUUGUGUAGCAGGCAAUGUGGGCUCCCAGCAGAUGCAGCAGAUCCGCAUGUCCCGCCGCAGGAAGGCCAUGGUUCUGAUGGGAAGAACACCAUGAUGUGUGAGGUCAUCCGAGGGCACCUGGAAAACAACCCAGCUCUGGAGAAACUGCUGCCUCUUAUCUGGGGGAAUGUGGGCUUUGUGUUCACCGAGAUCAGGGACAUGCUGCUGAGGGACAUUACUGAGAUCAGGGACAUGCUGCUGACCAAUAAGGCAGCAGCCUAUGUGAAGUCACUGUGCCAGCCCAGAACACUGGUCUGGGGCCCGAGAAGACCUCCUUUUUCCAGGCUUUAGGUAUCACCACUAAAAUCUCCAGGGCCAUCGUUAAAAUCCUGAGCGAUGUGCAGCUGAUCAAGACUGGAGACAAAGUGGGAGCCAGUGAAGCCACGCUGCUGAACAUGCUCAACAUCUCUCCCUUCUCCUUUGGGCUGGUCACCCAGCAGGUGUUCGACAAUGGCAGCAUCUACAACCCUGAAGGGCUUGACAUCACAGAGGAAACUCUGCACUCUCACUUCCUGAAGGGCGUCCGCAAUGUUGCCAGUGUCUGUCUGCAGAUUGGCUACCCAGCUGUUGCAUCAGUACCCCAUUCUAUCAUCAACAGAUACAAACGAGUCCUGGCCUUGUCUGUGGAGACUGAUUACACCUUCCCAGUUGCUGAAAAGGUCAAGGCCUUCUUGGCUGAUCCAUCUGCCUUUUCCGUGGCUGCCCCUGUGGCUGCUGCCACUACGGCUGUGCCUGCUGCUGCUGCAACCCCAGCUAAGGUUGAAGCCAAGGAAAAGUCGGAGUCGGACGAGGAUAUGGGAUUUGGUCUCUUUGACUAAUCACCAAAAAGCAACCACCUUAGCCAGCUUUAUGUGCAAAACAAGGAAAUAACACCGUCUUUAAAAAGUAAAAAAACAAAACAAAACACAAAAACAAAAGAAAAUAUAAAUAACCUUAAAAGUUAGUUAAGGUAUUUACUCUCUUUAAGGAGGGAGAACUACACGUCCCCUUCAAGUAUCUUAAGGAAUGAAAGUGUAGACAGGAUACAGGUGCUGAGCAUCUAUUAUGCAAGAACUGUGCUGGAUGUACAUUCCUUAGAACACUUCCAUAAAAUAGUAAUGUCUAUAUUUUGCAAAUAAAAAAUCUGAGGUUCAAAAUGGCCAAGUAGCUUGUCCAGAAGUCACAUAGCUGGCUAGUUGAAGAAGCUGGAAGUAAAACUCAGAUUUUUCUGAAUCAAAAGGCUUUUAUAAUUCUGUCUUAAGUGGUGUGAGAUUACGAAUCAGAAAGUGGAACCCCAAGUGUGAAAGGGAGAGUCCUAAAAUUGAAAAGUUAAAGAGUUGAAGAAGGCUUUUAUGUUUUAUUCAGACUGUUUUUCUUAAAAUUAGUUAGGUUAAGAUAUAAAGUUUAAAAUAUUACAUGAUAUUCCAACUUUCUCUGUUUUGAUGUUAUAAAACCUUGUGAACUGGGACUCCAGAAUUAUUAACAUAAGCUUGGAAUUUAUUUUAAAGUGUGAUGUAUUUGCUCUAAACUAGACUUCUAACCAGCUGAAAUUCAGUGGCUUCUGAGAUGUAGGUUCUUAUUCAACUAGACUAAAUGUGUCAUGCAGAAAUUUAUGACACAGUGGAGGCCAGAGGCUUUUACAGCAGCAAGUCCCUAAAGAAAUCAAGAGGAUCCUUUUUGGUCUACAGAACUGGAGAGAAUUUUUCCCAUCUAUCCACUGACAAAGGGCUAAUAUCCAGAAUCUACAAGGAACUUAAAAAUAUAUACAAGAAACAAACAAACAAACCCAUCAAAAAAUGGGCAAAGGAUAUGAACAGACACUUCUCAAAGGAGGACAUUUAUGUGGCUAACAAACGUAUGAAAAAAAGCUCAUCAUCACUGGUCAUUAGAUAAAUGCAAAUCAAAACCACAAUGAGAUACCAUCUCAGGCCAGUUAGAAUGGUGAUCAUUAAAAAGUCAGGAAACAACAGAUGGUGGAGAGGAUGUGAAGAAAUAGGAACGCUUUUACACUGUUGGUAGGAGUAUAAAUUAGUUCAACCACUGUGGAAGACAGUCUGGCAAUUCCUCAAAGAUCUAGAACCAGAAAUACCAUUUGACCCAGCAAUCCCAUUAUUGGGUGUAUACCCAAAGGAUUCUAAAUUAUUCUACUAUAAAGACAUGUGCACAUGUAUGUUUAUUGUGGCACUGUUUCAAGUUCAGUUAUUUUGCUGGAAUAUGACCCAAUUUGAUACUUUGUAUAAUUUUUCCCCUUGAGAUAUGAUGUGCCCCCUCAAUCAGUAAAAUAUAUUCUUCUCCUAUCUCCUCCCCUUCUCCUCCUCUUUCUUCAUCAUCUUUUUCCUGGUUAAAUUUAGUUUCUCUCCUUUCUCAUUUUGGCUCAUUAUACCUCUUACUGAGCUUUUAGAUGUGUCUAUUCCCCUUAGUGAUGCUUCCAAGGCUUUGUUUCUGUGAUUUUCUUCAACUUUAUUUCUGUGUUCACAGCUCUUGUUUUAUCAUCUCUUUCCUAAGCUUUUGCACCUCUGCUCUGUGCUACUGUUUUAUAAAUGAAAGUUUUAAAAAAUUAUUAUUUUUCAUUUAAUUCAUGCAAAAUUAUGGUUGACAAUAUUUCAUCUGUGACAUCUAUGGUCUUUUUUUUUUUUUAGCUUUAUCUGACAUCUUUCCCCUUUUCUUUUUCUCUCCUUCGUGCCCAUAUUUUGUUAUCUUAAAAUUGAUUCUUGUUUUUCUUAAAUCUCUCAUAUUAUUUUUCUGUAGAAAUUUUAUGUAUGGGAGAACAAAUAAGGAGCUGCAUUAUAGACUAGAAGAAAUUUUCAUUAUAAGCUAACAUCUUAAUCUGAGUUCUUUUAUCCAUUGCCUUCCUAGCCAGCCCAUGAAGACAAAGGGAUAAAAAAGGCUAUGAGACUGUGAGAUGGUUUGUCUCUAUGUCCCAAAAUCUCGUGUUGAAUUAUAAUCCCCAAUGUUGGGGGAGGGACCUGGUGGGAGGUGACUGAAUCAUGGGGGCAGAUUUUCCCUUGCUAUUCUCAUGAUAAUGAGUGAAUUCUCAUGAGAUCUGGGCUUGUUUGAAAGUGUAUAGCUCUUCCUCCUUAUCUCUCUCUCUCUCCUGCCAGCCAUGUGAAUAUGUGCUUGCUUCCCCUUCACUUUCUGUCAUGAUUGUAAAUUUCCUGAGGCUUCCCCAGAAGCAGGAGCCUGUACAGUCCACAGAACCAUAGGCCGAUUAAACCUCCUUUCUCUGUAAAUUACCCAGUCUCAUGUAGUUCCUUAUAGAAAUGUGAGAACAGAUGAAUACAGACGGCUUUCUAUAAAUUUGGCUUUCUAUAACUGAUCAUUUAUUCAGCCAUUUCUCCCUGACUUCUCAGUACUAAAUAUGGUCCAGGGAUGCUCCUGUCAUGAUCCCAUAUACUUGUCUUCUUCUAUUACAAAAAAGGGAUUCUACUUUUGCAUCUUAAAUGGUAUAUAUUCCAGCUUGGAGAAAUGUCCUUUGGGACCAGCCCUUCUGAGAGUUAUAGCACAGCAUCCUCUCUCCCCAUGCUCCUGUACUCUCCCUUAAUUGUCACUGCUUUAGGUAGCCUUUCUAUUGAUAUUAUGAUUUGAGUUUCCACUGUCUACUAGGGUCACAAAAAAUGAGUUCCCUUUUUCAUAUACCUACCUUAAAACAUUGAAUACCUGCUUUCUCAUGUUCUUUCUCCUGUCUGAGAACUGGAACAUAGAUGAUCCUUGAUGACGUGUUGGAAGAACUACAAGAUGAAAGGAAAUGAGGUACCUGAAUGAUAGAAGUAAAACCACUCAGCUGGCUUGGACUGCUCACUCAGGACUGUUACAUGGAAUAAAAAUAAAGGUCUAUGUUUUUUAAGCUACUGUAUUUUGGGGACUGCUUAUUUCUAUAGUUCUUGCUCUAUAUUAUAAACUCACUUAUCAAUAUUUUGUUUUGAGUUGUUUGCUGGAUUUAUUUUAUAAGAUUCUUUUUUGUGCUAAAUGGAUUUGAAAUGACUUUGUACAUUAAGGCAAAUAAUCUUUUCUUGUAUAUAACUUCAUUUGCCUUCAAAUUCAGUUUAGGCAAUUAUAUUUCUCAUAUUGGC